GUGGAGCCCAAUUAGGGCGAAAGACGUGACAUGUACUGUUCGUAUUAUUUGGCUGGUACUGCAUCACAUACUGUAUCUAUGAUCUGCUUCUCGCAACUGAGAGGACGUAGACGUGGCAGAUGUUUGCCAACUGGCCGAACAACCACAAACGUUACCUGGUAGGAAACCAUCUAAAUAAGCCGCUUGCGUUUCAGAUCUAUGAAUGUAAUACUGCGAACUUCACCCUGUCAAGUAAGCGAAACAGCCGCCGCUGCGUAACGUCAGAGGCUUCUCUUCAGGCGUCAUCGUUGCUGGAUACUUCUCAUUUUGGACACUGCAUGUGCAGAUAUGCGCUUGUGCCAUGAAAACGACCUUCCUUUGCAGCAGUUAGAAGUCAAGUGUAUUGUGCGGCUGCAGCGAUGGCAGAGGAUGUAUUGAUACGGAUGUUUUCUAUAGCACCAUCACCACCUGAUCAAAGCACCUGUUAGGAGAAAUGUGGAUACUCAAACGUCAACAAGACACACUGCUGCAGAUCUUGUAGGAUAAAGAAUAAAAACAAAAAGAAACAACUUGGAACACAUUUAUAUUUGGCAGAAUACCCUGUGAGAGCUGGGUGGUCUUUUGGCCUUGGAAAUGAAUGUUGUUUUUGAAAGUGGAAGAUUAUUCACCUUUUUAAAGCUUCAGUUACAUUCUCAAACACCUCAGAUAAUAAAAGUUGCUAACAUUUUCAUUAUGUUCAGUUUUUUGAAACCUAUCAUUAUUACAGAAUUUUUCUGUGUAACAUCAGAAAGAAAAUAAGAUAAGCCCAAACUGCACUGAUUCCUUGUAUGAAGGAUUUAAAUAUAAAGUAACCCAUGAGAGAAGGCUAAGGGCAAUUUUGCUGUAGUCAAGAAACAUUAAAGCUUGAUUCUUCUAGGUGGCAUAGCGGUGAGUAGGAUGAAUGCUGGCUUUGUCAUGCAGUAGAAAAGUAUUACUUUCUGAGUUUCUAUGGAUUAAAUUGUAAGCUGCUUAAAAUAUCACUUAAAUAAAUGACAGAUCAUUUUUGCAGUGUAAA